GUGUCUUGGAUACAGUACACACAUACAUUUAACAAAAAUAGAGUAAUAUUAUUAACAACAUGUACUUACUUUAAGGUUAGCGUUUGGUUUAAGGUUAUUUGCAUGUAAUUAUACCUAAUAAAAAAGUACAUAUAACAUGUUUAAUGGUGACACUGUAAAAUAAAGUGUAAACAUUGGACCUAUUCUUAGAUUAUAUCUCUGGGGCUGCUGCUGGAUCUCUGAUGAUUGUAGCAGCAAUUUCGAUGUUCUGCAUAUGUAGGAAACACAAAGACACACAUCAAGAGGUUGAGACUGGUGAAGAUGAGAUCACAUAUGCAGAUACAACAUUCCAUAAACGAAAAAUGCAUAAAUCGAUACCUUCAGAAGAGAGUACUGUGGUGUAUGGAGAAGUCAAGAAAAGAUGAUCAAACUCAUUCUGCUGUGUGAUUAUCUUCAGUUUGUGUUAUAACUUCAGACUCUGAGUGUUUGUAAGUCUACAGUUUCUCCAGAAACGUCUCCUUUUUUUGUAUACAGUUAGGUUCAUACAGUAUAUAUUUGGACACUGACACAAUUUUCAUAAUGUUGUCUCUGCAAGUAGAAUUAAAACAAAACCAUCGAGAUAAAUUUGAAAUGCAGACGUUUAGCUUUUAUUCAAGGGGUUAAACAACAAUGCUAUGCGAAACUUUAGGAAUUGUCAUCCCCUGUUUUCAGAGGUUCAAAUGUAAUUGGACAUAAAAUAAUUUUGAGGAUGACAAACUGAAGUCUGUAACCAAUGGGCAUCACCAGGGUUUUUUUCCCUUUUUGAUGCUUUGCCAGGCCUUUAUUGCAGCUGUCUUUAGUUGUUGUUGGUUGUGUCUUUCUGAAUUCAGAGAAGUUUUCAGUCUUCAGGAAAUUAAAUAAGUUUUGGGUCAUUGUCCAUUUGUACAGUGAAACGCCAUUCAAUCCUAUCAAGUUUAUCAGUGGUCUGCACCUUGCGGUAAACCCUCUAUAUUUGUUUUAAUUGGUCUAUAUUACUUGUUAUCUCUCUGAUGGAUUUGUUUUGUUUACGAAACCUAACAAUGGUCUGCUGAACGCCACCUCUGUCAACAAUGAGAUAAUGAUAUUAACCGAAUGUCCUCGGCACGUAUUAUACGCUUAUUAAAUACUUUCAUUUCAAAUCCGUUUAAUCCCGGCCCUAAGGCCAUUCAGAAAUACCGCUUUGUUGGCAGAAUCUAUUAAGAGUCUGAAAAUUUGCUCAUUUACGAGAAAACAUGUCAAAAUCACUUAGAGGGUUUUGCAUCGAAGCUCUUUAAUUCUUACAUUUGAAAUGUCUGUGUUAUCUCUCCAUCACAUUCACAAGCAUAAAUGCAUGUUAACAACUUACAUAUAAGUGCAUGUCAACAAGAAUUCACUAUUUAUGUUUAGUUUAAACAUAAAAAGUUAAAAAUAUAAAAAUAUUAUCAGUAAGAGUGUAUGUACGUAUUUGUGUAAAUAUCAUGUGGUUCCUCUUUUGCUAUAUUGAUAAGAUAAAACAGCUUUACAAUGAAAUAUUGAAUUAAUCAAUGCUGAUGUUUGACAAAUAA